UACCGUUCCCGGGCCUUGUACACACCGCCCGUCACACCACGAAAGUUGGUAACACCCGAAGCCGGUGGCCCAACCCUUUGGGAGGGAGCCGUCGAAGGUGGGAUCAGCGAUUGGGGUG
rnacentral:rRNA from 1 species